rnacentral:rRNA from 1 species
AUACGUAGGUGACAAGCGUUAUCCGGAUUUACUGGGCGUAAAGGGCGUGUAGGCGGUCUUGCAAGUCAGUAGUGAAAUUCCUGAGCUCAACUCGGGCGCUGCUUCUGAAACUGCAGGACUUGAGUGCUGGAGGGGAGAGCGGAAUUCCUAGUGGAGCGGUAAAAUGCGCAGAUAUUAGGAAGAACACCGGUGGCGAAGGCGGCUAUCUGGACAGUAACUGACGCUGAGGCGCGAAAGCGUGGGGAGCAAACAGGAUUAGAUACCCUGGUAGUCCACACUGUAAACGAUGAAUGCUAGGUGUAGGGGGUAUCGACCCCUUCUGUGCCGCAGUCAACACAAUAAGCAUUCCGCCUGGGGAGUACGGCCGCAAGGUUGAAACUCAAAUGAAUUGACGGGG